CCCCUCAGUCCUUGAGACUACAUAGACCUGUAAGCAGUAGGUGAUUUUUCUGGAAGGGGGCAUACAUAGUAACGGCAAACACAGUGCUUGGCAUCCUUCCCUGGGUCAGAAUAGCAGAGACCAGGCCUCCAGAGGGUAGCCUCUAGUCCCACAGCGCCCCCCUGCUAGCCGGUCUGGGCAGCUGCAGAAACCCCUUACCCUGCCCCUGUUGUCCCUCAAGGGCUCUCACAGUGUGCAGGUGGGGACAGGGCUCGUGCCCAGUGAGCCACAGUUGGACAGGUAGCUGUCUGUUUCCUCUGCUAACUCUCUAACUUCUUAUUUUCUGCUUCUCAGGCUGACCCUGGCUGGAAGACGUUUUCCGGUCAUUCUGAGUUGGCAUUGCCUGCAGUAGUAGUACCGGGCCCUGGGCUUCCACUCCGGUCAUUGGGGGGUGGGGUCAGCUUUUGGACCAAAAGGGCCCCCAGAGGGGACCCAUGAAGGAGUAUGGGCAUGGUUGGGGCAUGCUGACCUUAACUAGAAUGUUCCCCACCGCUCCCAUUCAUCUGAUGAGCUAAGCUCUGAAAAGCUCUUUCACAAGUCAUUUUCAUCGGAACUGCACCACACUCAGGAUUGAGGGCAUGGCCGGGGGUCAUUAGCAUUGGCCAGGGUGGCUAAACAGUUCAGGGGUGUCAUGGCACUUGUUCCGUGCCCUACACCAAAACAGUUGGAUGCCCAGAAGCUCUCUCCCCAUCCAGUGUGUUCUUUUUACCCCCAGCAGAGUGUAGACACCAAGGACUGGAAGGAAACAACCCUUGAUUUUAAGAAUGAGACUGAUUCUGGAUGUGACACUGAUGCUUCCACAGAGGGAGCUGGUCCAAGGUGUUCCAGCCUCAGCCCUGGAACUCGCAGACCAGCCAGCUGCAACCUGUGUGAUCCAAGGUCAUCUGCAUCCGCGAGGGACCCCCCCCCAGUGCUCCCCAGCAUGCUGCUGGGGUUGUCUGCCUAGGGGCUCUGCUCUGCCAGUGGCUGUUUUUCCAAGAGAAGCUUCAGGGACUUGGGUGGGUGCUGGGGACUGGGUUCCCUCACGCCAGCAUCCUCCUGUGCUGUGGGCAUGGUGUGCUCUGGGGCCUGGAGACAGUCCCAGCGCUCACCCCCAAGCACCGGUGACUCUCCAUAGAUGAUGGACAGGAGUUGCUGCCACUCUUGCUUGGCAGGUUCAAGCUGAUCACUCAUGCUUAGGUGAAAGAACGACUGAGUCUUGUGUGCUGGAAACCUGAGUCACAUCUGUGGCUGCCAGUGAUUGCACCAGGAAAGGCAUGGCGUGAGGGGAAGGGCCUCCCCAGCUGUGCCUGUUGUGCUGUCCUGGAAGAGAAGGAUUCUUACCUCCUCUGGGAGCCAUCAUUCAACUCCUCAAGGAUUGGAAGUGACUCCCCGCAGCACCCUGCCCCACUGCCCAGCAGCCCUCCCUCAGCAGCAGGCUCCAUCAGCAGUGAUGUCACACUUCAGUGUAGUCAAGACAGGGCCUAAGUUAUUGUUUGCAUAAAAAAGAAUCAUGUUCCCUGUGUACAUUUAAAAAAAAAAAAAGUGAAUUGUAAGAGAAUAAAACUUGUUUGAAAAUUUGGAAUAGUGCUGCU
ensembl:lncRNA